UACAGGGGCCACGAGCGUUAGGCGGAAUCACUGGGCUUAAAGCGUGUGUAGGUGGAUAGGUAAGUACCUUGUGAAAUCCCACAGCUCAACUGUGGAACUGCUUGGUAUACUGCCCGUCUUGAGGCACUCAGGGGCGAGCGGAACAGAUGGUGGAGCGGUGAAAUGCGUAGAUAUCAUCUGGAACGCCAAUGGUGAAGACAGCUCGCUGGGGGUGUACUGACACUGAGACACGAAAGCCAGGGGAGCAAACGGG
rnacentral:rRNA from 1 species